UACGAAGGGGGCGAGCGUUGUUCGGAUUUACUGGGCGUAAAGCGUGCGCAGGCGGCGCGUUAAGACAGGUGUGAAAGCCCCGAGCUUAACUUGGGAAUUGCGCUUGUGACUGGCGUGCUGGAGUGUGGCAGAGGGAGGUGGAAUUCCACGUGUAGCAGUGAAAUGCGUAGAGAUGUGGAGGAACACCAGUGGCGAAGGCGAGUCCCUGGACAGAUCCUGACGCUGAGGCACGAAAGCUAGGGGAGCAAACAGG
rnacentral:rRNA from 1 species